rnacentral:rRNA from 1 species
GAAUUGUUCGCAAUGGGCGCAAGCCUGACGACGCAACGCCGCGUGGAGGAUGAAGAUUUUCGGAUCGUAAACUCCUUUCGAUCGGGACGAAUGGCCAGUGGCCUAAUACGCCACUGGAUUGACGGUACCGCGAGAAGAAGCCCCGGCUACCCCCUUGCCAGCGCCCGCGGUAAUACGGGGGGGGCAAGCGUUGUUCGGAAUUACUGGGCGUAAAGGGCGCGUAGGCGGCCUGCUAAGUCACACGUGAAAUCCCUCGGCUCAACCGGGGAACUGCGUGUGAUACUGGCGGGCUUGAAUUCGGGAGAGGGAUGUGGAAUUCCAGGUGUAGCGGUGAAAUGCGUAGAUAUCUGGAGGAACACCGGUGGCGAAGGCGGCAUCCUGGACCGAGAUUGACGCUGAGGCGCGAAAGCUAGGGUAGCAAACGGG